rnacentral:rRNA from 1 species
GACGAACGUUGGCGGCGUGCUUAAUACAUGCAAGUCGAGCGAGAAAGCCCGCAAGGGUGAGUAAAGCGGCGCACGGGUGAGUAACACGUGGGUAAUCUUCCUUGGAGCUUGGAAUAACUCCCCGAAAGGGGUGCUAAUGCCGAAUAAGACCACGGGGUCUCUGGACCCUGAGGGAAAAGGCGGCCUCUGUACACAAGCUGUCACUCCAAGAUGAGCCCGCGUCCCAUCAGCUAGUUGGCGGGGUAACGGCCCACCAAGGCUUCGACGGGUAGCUGGUCUGAGAGGACGAUCAGCCACACUGGAACUGAGACACGGUCCAGACACCUACGGGAGGCUG